CCACGCACCCUCAGAUGCUGGCCUUAACGGGGAGAAGUCUGCUCGGAGCCCAAGUGCCGGUCCCACAGAGCGCAUUUCGUGUCACCCGCUGGUGACGCCCAUCAGGUGCCGACACGAUCCCUGUUCUCACUCGGACAUCUCCCUCCGAGGACGUUCAUUCACACACUGCCCGGGUUUCACUUGGAUGCUGCUGGUUCAUUUGGAAUGAUGUGUGGAAUGACUCGGUGAUCCUCCCGAGGACCUCCUGAGCAGCAAUUUCUCUGUCUUCUCCCCGCGCAGUGCCUUGCACAAGCCUCAGAAAUACACAGUACAGCCCAAGCAUGGUGGUUUGGUUGUACUUUUACCCACCUGUCCGUAGAAAAGCAUAUUUCUUGUCUCUUUGCUCUGAUUGUUUAACUUGUGCUGGUGGCUCUGAGUUUACACCUCUGCUCAAAGCACACGCAGAAUCUUUGCUUACUUCAGUGAGAGACAUUUGGGACUGAAGCACAUCAGUUCACAGUCCAGAGUCUGUGCAGUCACCAAGCCCAGGCAGCAUUUCAUUGCCCACCAGUUUUCUCCACAGCUCACUGAUAGGGGCACUGCCAGGUGAUGUGCUCGGCUCCCUUCCCAGGCACCUCAUCACAGCCCCCGACAUUUUCCAAACACCAUCUGCUAGUGUUUAUUUUGGCCCUUCUACAGGUGUUUCCAAAUUAUUUUGUGGAAGAACAUGGAAAACAUGAUUUAGGGCAACCAUUGAAGGAACUGUGAGACUGAAGGUCUGAUAAAGCUCAGUCUGUGAAAUGUUUCUUCAGCUACCUCAAGGCAAGUGCUGACAUUACCAGGAAGCAAGCAGUGCUAAAGAAACAAAGGUGUAUAUAAGUGGAAGCCUGGGCUGAGACUGCAUGCGUUGAAAUGGAAGGUGCCCAGCCAAACAUCGAAGUGUUUCUGCUGACUUACCGUGGAACUUUGUCCUUUUGCUGAAGAACUACUGUGGGAUUUCAGGCACGGUUGAGUCUUGAUGAAUUGUGAGGCAAAAUUUGAUUUUGAUUAAUUAUUUGGUAAGUUCUAAAAAUUGCAUACACAUGGGGGAAGUCUCCCUAUAACAUGCAUUUCUCUGGUUUCCAUUCCUUGUCGUGCUGCUGUUGGGGAUAUUGAACACCUCCAGUUGUGGAAUCCCUGCCCCGGGAAAAGGACGAUGUCAGCUAAGCACAGGCAGUGCUGAGAUUUAUAGAGAAGCAAAGACAACUUCUGUUAUUAAGCAAAGAAAGCUGAGCUGGAUAAAAAGCUUGCUUGAGUAAAAUGAACCUUUUAUUUUUCUUUUUUUCUUCUUCCUCUUUUUCUUUCUUAAGCUUAACAAAAAAGAAAAAUGGAAAAUCCCCACUGAUUGCAUCCAGCUGUUAAAAUUUUAUGAUACCGAGAUUCCCAGUUGUCAUGACCACUUCAUGUAGUUUAAUAUGCAGUCGUAUUCUUUUCAGUUUCAUUUUCUUCCCCAACUUUAGUUAAUAAAACACCUUUCAGACAGCCUGUUCUUAGCA